rnacentral:lncRNA from 1 species
ACUCAUCAUUCAAGAAACAUUUAAGCAAUAUCCAACUACAACCGACCGUUCCUAGAGCAAGUGGCAAAGGGUUUGAUGGUUGGUAUCAGAGACCCAAAUUCGAAUCCUAGUUGAUUUACAUUUUCAGCUAAGUUUAUUUCUAAAUAAAAUAAACGAAGGGGGUAGCGUGCUGUCUAUCAAUCAAAAAAAAAUAAAAAAGCAAUAUCUAAAUACAUGCUCCACUUUGAGAUGUACCGGUAGAUAAAAAUUUAAUAUAAUAA